AUCGCCAUUCACAAAAACAUUUCAAGGCCCACUUUGUAUUUUUUUUUCGGUGUUGGCAGGCGUGAAACCCUUGGAUAAUUCGCUCAUCUCUUCGGUACUGACGUAUUUGAAUCUUUCUUUCUGAGAGGCAGCCAACUUCAGCUUUUUCUUCUGUGGUUCUCCUUCCAGUUCAGCCAUCCAGUCGGGCAGCCAAGCCUGAUUUCUUAUUUCUGACCGGAAGUGACGUUUUUCUCAAAAUGGCUGACUUUUAGUGUGGUAGUGCCACUUGCCUAUUUUGAUUGUUUAUGUCAAAGCUAAGAAGUCUACAGUUACUUUGCUGUUCUCUGCACUUUUAGCAUUGGAUAGAGAUGUAGCUAACUGAUCUUCUACAUUUAUAAUCAAGAACUGUUCGUGUUUCAGGUGCUUGUUUCCACUGUAAGGAUUUAAAAUGGCUGACACAAAAAUCAUAUUAAAUUCUAUAACUUGUAAAAUAGAGUGAAUGCAAUCACAGUUACAAGUUUCAUUGCUGUAGGAGAAAAGGGAAAAUUUUUCUAA